AUGCUAAGUGAAAAACAUGAACGUUCGGCACACGAAGAUUGCACACCUCUGUUCGUGCACUACUGUUUCUCCCAGCAGCUUUGGAUAAAAUCCAGGGAUUGGACGAGGACAGGCUUUCAGACUCUAGAUGAUAGCUUUGGUACUACAGAGGAUUGGUGGUUGAAUACGAGGAAGCAGGUCCCCAAGCCGGAACGGCGUAAUUUUGCCACUAUCCCAAUCCUGCUACACUGGAGGAUUUGGAAAAAACGAAAUGCUCGGAUCUUUGAGCAAGUGCUAAACGUGGACAGGGUGCUCGAACUAAUCAGAUAAGAUAUUGCAACAUGGAGGGCUGUUGGCUGCGUUGGCGAUCUUUGCUGA
rnacentral:rRNA from 1 species